rnacentral:lncRNA from 1 species
GUCUCCUGUGUGGGAUACGUAUCGACCCGGGAUCCCGCAAAUAAAGCUACCUCUUGCUGUUACAUCAAGACGGCUACUCGUGAUUCCUGGGGGCACCCCACCCCGCGAACGGAGCGAGAGACGCGGCUCCCCGUUUAGGGGUACGCUUUUUCACACUGAACAUGGGUCUCGUUCAUGAGAUUGUUGUGAUUCUCAGCCUUUCUCUUCCCUCGUGUGUGCUCUUCAUUUUCUGGUUCCGUCUCCCUAGCACCUACUAGGGGAGCUGCUGUGCUCUUCCAGAGAAGGCUUUUGUUGAUCAGAGGCAAGGACUUCAUCCAAGGCAGUCACCUGUCCGGUCGCUAACUGUCCUUUCCUGUAUGGAUUAAGACAAACCACCCAGGAACACGGUAGAAAUUGCGAACAUGCCUCCCAGAAAGGGGUUCUACAUGUGGGAGUGGCGCGCAAGGAGAACCCGGAAGCGCUGGGAAGGGGACGAGGAUAUCCUGUGGAGCCACGCCUCCCCCCUGGUUAUUGGUCACUUUUUUCACCCAAACACCAAUGGAUGCUGACCCGAACCUCCGCCGCCCAAGCCAAGGAUAGGCUCCGCCCCGUGCGGGUUAAGUGCAGCGGGCACUCUUGGGGAUGUUUCCAAAGGCUUCCUGAACAUCAAUGACCUAGCUGAGGUGAACAACUACUGGGCCCUGAACCUAACCUCCAUGCUCUGC